rnacentral:rRNA from 1 species
UACAGAGGUCUCAAGCGUUGUUCGGAUUCAUUGGGCGUAAAGGGUGCGUAGGUGGCGUGGUAAGUCGGGUGUGAAAUUUCGGAGCUUAACUCCGAAACUGCAUUCGAUACUGCCGUGCUUGAGGACUGGAGAGGAGACUGGAAUUUACGGUGUAGCAGUGAAAUGCGUAGAGAUCGUAAGGAAGACCAGUGGCGAAGGCGGGUCUCUGGACAGUUCCUGACGCUGAGGCACGAAGGCCAGGGGGAGCAAACGGG